GGGGAAUUUUCCGCAAUGGGCGAAAGCCUGACGGAGCAAGACCGCGUGGGGGAGGAAGGCCUUUGGGUUGUAAACCCCUUUUGUUAGGGAAGAAAAAAAUGACGGUACCUAACGAAUCAGCCUCGGCUAACUCCGUGCCAGCAGCCGCGGUAAUACGGAGGAGGCAAGCGUUAUCCGGAAUUAUUGGGCGUAAAGCGUCCGUAGGUGGCCCGGCAAGUCUGCUGUCAAAGACCACAGCUCAACUGUGGAAAGGCAGUGGAAACUGCAAGGCUAGAGUGCGGUAGGGGUAGAGGGAAUUCCCAGUGUAGCGGUGAAAUGCGUAGAGAUUGGGAAGAACACCGGUGGCGAAAGCGCUCUACUGGGCCGCAACUGACACUG
rnacentral:rRNA from 1 species